GCGAAAGUGGCGGAACUGGUAGACGCGCGAGACUUAGGAUCUCGUGGGCGUGCCCGUGGGGGUUCGAGUCCCCCCUUUCGCA
rnacentral:tRNA from 1 species